rnacentral:lncRNA from 1 species
CACACAGACACAGCACACACCACAAACAUCACACACACACCCUACUACAUGCCACACACACGACACACACACCACACAGACACACCACACACCCUAUUACACGCCACACACACCACACACACACCACACACCCUACUACACACCACACACACCCUACUACAGACCAGACACCACACACACACACCAUGCUACAUGCCAUACACACCACACACACACCACACACCACACACACACCACACACCCUACUACAUGCCACACACACCCUACUACAUACCACACACACACCCUACUACACGCAACACACACUACUAAACACCACACACACACUACUACACACCAGACACUGUGCUACAUGCCAUACACACACUCUAUGACACCACACACACCACACAGAUACCACACACAUCACACACCACACACACUACUAAACACCACACACACCACACACAUCCACACUCACGCACUCCUAUUAAAAGGCUUUUGCUUUCGUGCCAAACCUCUAAACCCAUCCCUUAGAGGGGCGGUGAUCGGCAGAGCUAGUGUGUUCAAACCUUGUAACAUUUAGUCAGAAAGAAAAUGCAUCAAUUUGUAACAGUUUGUAGCUGAAAUUGAAGAUGUGCAUCUGGCAUGAAAGAUAUCGGGACUGUGCUGGAAGGUGCUGUGUGCCUCACAUGAGGCAGAGCUGCUCACACUGUGGCUGGAGGAUCCAUUGAUUGUGUGGGUUAAUCACUGCUAAGCCACAGAGAGCUCCCCUUUCCCCUGGUGAGCGCUCCCCCAGCUGGCAGUUGCCCACGCACUCUGCAGAAAGCAGUGCCUCUCUUGGGAGCACGACCAGGGCAGACCCCCACAGUCCUACCCGUCCUCCCUCACACUCAGAGCAUGCGCACAACAGACCUCCUGGGGCCCACGGGUGCACCCCCCCUACACACUUUCCGUAUCCUACACCAGGCAGCCCAGGGCCCGCUGGUCCCCAAGCCUCCAUCUGUCCCCACUCAAUCACUCAUUCCGGGUCGCCCACCCUUCCCGGCCUGCUCCCAAGCAUCUUGACACCCAACCAAUGGAAGACCCUCUCCUCCGCCCCAGGACAGCUGCCUGUGGGUUUGGGAGAUGUUGUGGGGUGCUGGGGAGUGGGGAACCCUGGAGGCCCAAGAUUCUGAGUCUCUGGAGAAGGAGGUGGGAAGGCAGCCUGUCUGGGGGCCAGAGGCAGCCCCCUGGGCUGGGAGCAGCUGGGGGCCCCAGCAGGCAGCUCAGGGCUGGCCAGGCGGCUGGACUGUGACUCAGCAGCUUCUCCGUCUUGGCUAGAGUGCGCCGUGCUGCAGUAUUAACUCCCUCUCCAGGGAGCCUGGACUCCAGCUCCUCUCCCAUGGGGAUGGCGGGCUUCUCUGUCCUGUUUCAAGUUGUGAUCCUGGCUGGGGUGGCAGAGCGGAGGGUGUGCUGAGGGGCUUGCCUGGCGGGGGCAUCCCUCUGCCCCCUCACCACUGCUACUAUCCCUGCACCCUACAAGAGUUAGCCAAGGAUCAAAUGGAGCCAGGGCUUGGUGGGGUGGCCUGAGGGGCGACAAAGGCCUGGAAUCCAGGAGUUGACAACUCAGGCAGGGCUGCCACCAUUUAGCGGUGUUGUUUGUGUGAUGGAGGUAAGCCACCUCCCUUUGGGGCCUCAGUUUCUUUGUUUUCGAAAAGAGGCUGUGGACUGCGUUGUCUGUAAGAGUCCCUCAGCCCUCACAGGCUGGGUUUUAUUAAUAUUUGCCUGUGAUUUAAGGGUAUCCAUGCCUGGGGUCUAGGUUCAGAGAGAAAUAAAUAAUCCGAGGCAGGUGUGAGGUGCUGCAGGUUUACAGAGCCUCACUCAGGAAACUUCACCUUUGAUCAUGGAAGCUGUCCUUAAGGCAGGCAGGGCAGGGAUGCUUAACCCCCACACACAGCUGCACAAGCGCAGGGAGGCUAACAGGCCAGCCCAAGAUUGGUGCAGGAAGGGCUCAAUCCUCAGCCAUUGGAUUCUGAGGCGCCCAUCAGGUGGCCUGGAAUUGCUGAUCUCAGCGAGAUCAAGAGAAGGAAAAUGAGUGUUGCUGCAGCAGGAGAGAUUGAAGUUAGACACUAGAAGGACGUUCCAACUCUCAGGAACCUGGGAGUUGUUAGCUUCCCCAGGGCCAGUCAAGAACAGACUCUGCUUCUACGUGUGCGGAAUGACAACCUCGCUCCAAAGUGGAGGUGUGCAUGCACUGACCAAGAAGGCUCAUCAGGCCUCGGUACACAAGGAACUCAAAGAAAUGGGUAACUUAUUUUCAGAAUGAGCUAGAAAAUUAAUUCAUUAAAACUUUAUCCUCAGCCUCCUAGGACCAAAUGUUGGACUGAAGCAUUGGUGCAAAACAUAAAGACAUAUAUUUCUCCUUAAGUAUUGAUCUUUCUAGCCUGUGAGCUUCGGUGACAGGUGUCUUGCUGGUUAACCUAUUUCCAUCUCAUUACUUUGGCUUCUGCAAAUACAAUGCCGGGAAAGAUUAAAUACUGUAAGCUGUAUCCAGUCAGCUCUCCAUUAUCUGCAUUAAUCAAGGCUAGUACUGAGUGGGAUAAUCCACAGAAGUGCCUAGUCCCCAGAUCAUAUUUAAUUGGUUUGGGGUGGCAGUUGAUGGUGAGUGUAUGUACAUGUGUGCACACACACACAUAUAUGCUUUUGGUGAGGGUGAGGAUUGAACUUACUCAUCUUUGAUGUGGCAUCAGGAUCCCAUUUUGGAGGCAGUCUCAUUUGGGGGCACACCAAGGGAAUCCCAGAAGCCUGCUAGAGGAGACAGCAGGGCUUCCAGUCUCCUGACUUUUUGUAGGGAAGAAGAGAGGCAAGGUGAGAGCCUAGGGGUCCUCUGAGGGUGAGGGGGGCAGGUCCUGGUGGCAUUCUUCCUGCAGCAUGCCUCCCACCUGGAGCAGGUCAGGCGAUUUCUGGGUGAGCUACACAAACCCACUCAUUUGUUCUCUCUUUUGGCUGGGCGCAGUGGCUCAUGCCUAUAAUCCCAGCACUUUGGGAGGUCAAGGCAGCAAGAUCGCCAGGAGUUCAAGGAGUUCAUGAGGCCAGGAGUUCAAGACCAGCCUGAGCAACAUAGUGGUACCCUGUCUCUAUGAAAAACUUUAAAACUAGCCAGGCAUGGUGGCGCAUGUGUGUGGUCCUAGCUCCUUGGGAGGCUGAGGUGGGAGGAUUGCUUGGGCCCAGGAGUUUGAAGGCUGCAGUGAGCUAUGAUCACGGCCCUGUAUUCCAGCCUGAGCAACAGAGUGAGACGCUGUCUGUAAAAAAUAAAAUAAAUUUAAAAAC